UGGGGAAUAUUGGACAAUGGGCGAAAGCCUGAUCCAGCAAUGCCGCGUGAGUGAUGAAGGCCUUAGGGUUGUAAAGCUCUUUUACCCGGGAUGAUAAUGACAGUACCGGGAGAAUAAGCCCCGGCUAACUCCGUGCCAGCAGCCGCGGUAAUACGGAGGGGGCUAGCGUUGUUCGGAAUUACUGGGCGUAAAGCGCACGUAGGCGGCUUUGCAAGUUAGAGGUGAAAGCCCGGGGCUCAACUCCGGAAUUGCCUUUAAAACUGCAUCGCUAGAAUUGUGGAGAGGUAAGUGGAAUUCCGAGUGUAGAGGUGAAAUUCGUAGAUAUUCGGAAGAACACCAGUUGCGAAGGCGACUUACUGGACACAUAUUGACGCUGAGGUGCGAAAGCGUGGGGAGCAAACAGG
rnacentral:rRNA from 1 species